rnacentral:rRNA from 1 species
CGGUGGUUAUGGCGGAGGGGAAACACCUGUUCCCAUUCCGAACACAGCAGUUAAGCCCUCUGGCGUCGAUGGUACUACUCGGGAGACCGUGUGGGAGAGUAGAAAGCCGCCGGGAGU